GGUCUUGGACCGGCCGGCCGGAAUGACUAUAUUGGGUGGUGUCGGGAAACCGACUAUGGCGAUAAACGACGCGUGGAAUAAGCGUUGCGGACCCGGGGGCAGUACCCGGCGCCUCCACCAUUCCUGCCGCAUGCGGCAGAUCCGCGGGGGCGAACCAGGAUCGACGUGCGUGGUAAAGGCGUGGCCUUCGCCCGGCAUGGUACCGCCGUUACCGGGCCACAUGAUAGUUGCGAACGACAACUAUGCGGAGGCGCGCCUCGCCGCGUAAGCGGUCGGGUAGUCUCAAAUGAAGUCCGGCGGGUUCGCACCCGCCGGCGGGGUCUGGGGCGCACCUGGCAACAGAAGCGCCCCGCU
rnacentral:tmRNA from 1 species